rnacentral:rRNA from 1 species
GAUGAACGCUAGCUACAGGCUUAACACAUGCAAGUCGAGGGACCGGCGCACGGGUGAGUAACACGUAUCCAACCUGCCCUUUACUCGGGGAUAGCCUUUCGAAAGAAAGAUUAAUACCCGAUAUAAAGGAUGGGGAUGCGUUCCAUUAGGUUGUUGGUGAGGUAACGGCCCACCAAGCCUUCGAUGGAUAGGGGAUCUGAGAGGAAGGUCCCCCACAUUGGAACGGAGACACGGUCCAAACUCCUACGGGAUGCAGCGGUGAGGAGUAUUGGGGAAUGGGCGCUAGCGUGAACCAGCCGAGUAGCGUGAAGGUUUAAGGGUUUUGGAUCGUAAACUGCUUGUAUGUAAGGAUAUGUAUUAUAUGCAUAAGGAUCGGCUAACUCCGUGCCAGCAGCCGCGGUAAUUC